GGGCAGAGUGCCCAAGGCUGCACCAGGGCAAGGACGGGCGUCUGGCUCCCGGCCGGCCAGUAGGUGGGUUGCUGGACACCAGUUUAAAAGAAGAAAGAUUACUGACUCCAUCAAGUUGGCAUAACACAGCAACUGAAUAUACUUCCAGCAUUUACAGUCCUGCUGUAUUGGUCUCCAGGCUGGAAAUUUAUGCAGUGAACUUCUAGGGAAAUGCUGAAGCAAAUGCUAAACAAGAAGCUACUUUUUUCACUCUGAAGUUCUAGCUGCAGCCUUAAGAGAUCAGGAGAAAUGUAAAAAGUGAGAAAUAAAUCAGAAGUAAAGUUGGAACCGAGGCCAACUUCGGGCACGGUGACAGAAGGGCUCACCUUCAGAGCACGGAGCUGACCGAGUCAUGUUACAGCCACAAAGAGGCAGUUAGGACUCGUCCC